CCCCUAUGUUUGACCUGCACCCAAUGAGGGCCUUGUUUCUCAUGUCAAAGAGCAGCUUUCAGCCUCCCAAGCUGAAAGAUAAAAUGAAGUGGUCCACAGCCUUCCAUAACUUUGUGAAAGUCUCUCUGACCAAGAACCCCAAGAAGAGACCAACAGCAGAGAAGCUCCUAUCGCAUUUGUUUAUAGAUCAGACAGGGCUGACCAGAGAGUAGCUGUGGAGCUGCUGGACAAGAUGAACAACCCAGACAACCACCAACACUUCUCUGAGGUGGACGACGAUGACCUGGAGUCUCUUUCAGUAGUGAGACACACCAUCCGUUCCAUCAACAAACACCCCAGACCAGAG